GGACGAACGGAGGCGGCGGGAACCACGGCAGGGUUGGUCGAACGAGACUACUCUGUCGAGAUAUGUGUCCGGCCGCCGGAGUUUUCACGAAGAUCUGUGUAAAAGGAUGGCGAGGUGGUGUCGGGUCUCUUCCGCCGGACAAAAUCGAAUCGCAGAUGGCGGCCGGCGCAUGAUUUUUCUUUUGGAAACCGCCAACCGAGAAUGUAUCGCGUGCGCGAUUCGUGGCGUUGAUCCUGCCGUUUCUGUUUUUGUUUUCAUUUCCUUUUCUUUUCUUUUUUCCUAUUUACAUUCGCGGGCGGGUUACCUCGACGCCGUAGACGAAUACGUACGCGACUACGGGGUUAUACAGGGCUUGGAUAUGGGCUUACAGCGGGCUAUACCUACAGGGGCUGACUUAAGUCGCGGGGCCCUGGAAACCCGAUGACUUACGCUGGGGGGGGUCGUAUUGAAUUACGCCUCUUUAUAAGAUGGAAACUGAUGCAAAUGAUCAAUGCACCACCAGCCUUCAAACAUACAUAAUCGAUAAUCUCACUAGCUACCCCUGUACAUGGAUAUAUAUACACCACACCAAUACACCAUGUCACUUGACUCGAUAAAAUAAGCUGGUUUAUCCACACUAGCCAUUUUGAAGUCACACAUCUAUUUGUUUUGAACAUUUUACUAUGUUAAAAAGGUGGCAACGGGGGUGUUAUAUAGAUCAUCCUAAUUAUCACUACUACAAUGAUGUCGACUACAAGUAUGUAUGAAGAUUUUUUUUACGGAUAAGUAUGUAUGAAUAGGAGACACUGGGAAAGGAUCAAAUGCUGGUCAUGCAAGGACAAGUGAGCUAUGCAAAAAAUGGAUUGACCAGCCUAUUGG
rnacentral:lncRNA from 1 species